rnacentral:lncRNA from 1 species
UACUAAAUGUUUUAAAUUUCAUUAAAAUUAAAAUAACAGUUGGUAAAACAAGAGAUAACCUUUCUAAUUUGUUUCUGCAUACAUGAAGAAUUUUCCAGGACCUAAAUGGAUUCACAGAUUAAAAAAUAAUAAUUUCAAUAAUUUCAAGAAACUGAAACUGUUUCUUCAGGUAGGGUGGCCAUACUUAAGUGUUCCCAAACCCUGUAUGAUGACUACUGGGUUGUAUGGAUAAAUGAUAUGAGUUAGUUAUGCAGAUCCAAUUGUCUAGGAAUACCUAAAACACAUUACAUUGUUACAACCCAUAUGAGAAAGGAGUGUUGUAACUUUCAAUGAUAGUAAACAUAAGAUGAACUGGGAUUUGCUCAGUUGACACUUAGCAUUUUAUGGACUCUGCCUUUGUUUUAGGUCCUUUUUUAUUUUUCUUUUUACAGUGUUCUACCUCUCCAAUAGUUGUCCAACUUGAACCAACACAUUUGUUUAAAGUAGAAUUACUGUGUCAUCAGUAUGUCUCUCAAGAGCAUGGGUUCUUUUUGUACACAAUGAAUGCACAAUAGCCUCAUGUCAAGAGUUUAAUGACAUUUCAUGCCAAAUAGCCCUGAGCCUUUGCAGGAAAAUAAAGCAAGAGACAGGACUUUUAGGUCUAACUCCCAAAGUUUCUUACCAGAGAGAAGACCCUGCUUCUGAGAUUCUAUGUCUAUUCCACCCAUUGGUUCUGAUAGAGAUAGUGAGUGGACUAGACCAUAAAUCUCAGGAAGCAAUUGAUUUUUUACUUCUCUGAACAGAUUGACAUAAAAAAGCAUAGAUAAAUGCGUACCAUGAAUAUUCUCCAGAUUUAUUGUAUUUUGAUUUCCAGUAGCUCUGUAACAUCUCCAAUGGGGGAAAUACUAUGGAUUUAUAUAACUUGUUAAUCCUUAUAUUGUCUUUGAAAAAUUAGUAAAUGCAAGUAGUGUACUUCCUGUCCCUGUGAUGGUAGGCUGACUCAUCUUAAAACAGAUUUAAAAAAUCAAUUAUAUUUUUCCUUCAGAUUUAAUAACAAAGAAAUAAGUCAAGAAACUCCUUUUACUUCAGGUUAAAAGUAUUGAGAGACCUAAUCCAUUGUUAUAGCAUUUUAGGAAUAUAACCAAAUAUAGAGAUUUUCAAACACACACACGUGUUUGUGCACAAACACACAUUAAUUUUAAAUGUAUUGAAAUUCAAUUUAUUUUAAACAAAAGAAAAAGCAAAUGAGUGUUGAACGGUAUUAAAUGAAAGUUUUUUUUUUUUAAGAAAAUAUCAGCAAAAAAGCAUGCAAAGCACAAAUGUUUGGUGGCUAAGUUUAGUGAUAUCUGAACAGUCCCCUCAAUUUCAGUUUCUCUUGAAGAGAAAAGAGUAGGGGUAGAAAUAUGGAGUCAGAAGACAGAGAUUCAAGACAGGAAGUUUAAUUGCAUUUUAGCUAUUAAAAAUUCCAAAAGCAACGUUUACCAUAAUAUGAGAGAAAUGCCAUGUCUAUUUUAAAUAAUUUAGAGAGAAUGGAUAAAAAAUUUUCUAUUCUGCUUUAACUAUGGUGAUACUUUAAGUUCUACGAUUAAGUCAUUUGUACAUGCUCUUGACAAGAUAAUAGUCGAGAAGAUUAAAAACUAUUCUCCAUUGUUCUAUAUAUACAUUAUAUAUGUAUAUGAGUAAACAUGAGUAUAUAUAUAUAUAUAUAUAUAUAUAUAUAUGCAUGAAUAUAUAUGAGCAGAAUGUAGAAAGCAAAGCAUUUAUAAAUGAGUUGAUAAUUUCCAAGUUUACUGUUCAACUGUAGAAAUUUAAGUGUAUGAUCCUUAAAAUAAAGGGAAACAAAAAUGUAUCAUAAACAACAUCUGUCGCACAGCUUGAGUUUUUUACUGUAUGUGAGUGUAAAAAUGAAAUGUAAUGCUUAGCAAUUAUGAAGGACACAUAACUCACUACAUAAUGACUAACUUACUGUACUGGGCCUAAGUUAUUGAUAAAAGAACUGUCUGUUUCAUUCUAGGAAAUUGAAUAUUGGAAGUCCACAUGUUAUAUCUAUAAUAUAACCUACAGGGUCACCAUUAUCCUCAGCUCCUCUCAGCCUUUCCCUAAUUCAACCACAGGGGUCAGCAGUUUGUAUCCAUUGGUAGGAUGGAAAUAUCUGCAUCUGACUCUUUCAGCUGCUGGUUGGGUCUUUGAGAGAGCAGUCAUGCUAGGUCCCUUUUUGUGAGUGCUUCAUAGCCUCAGUAAUAGCAUCAGAUCUUGGGGCCUGACCUUGAGCUGAAUCCCACUUUGGGCCUGUCACUGGACCUUCUUUUCCUCAGGCUCUUCUCCAUUUCCAUCCCUGCAGUUCUUUCAGACAGGAACAAUUAUGAGCCAGAGUUCUGACUGCGUGAUAGCAACCCCUUGAUGCCCUGUCUAUCUGUUGGAGGUGGACUCUAUAAGUUUCCUCUCCCCACUGUAGGACAUUUCAUCUAAAGUCCCUCCCUUUGAAUCCUGAGAGUCUCUCACCUCCUAGGUUUCUGGUACAUUCUGGAGGGUCCCCUCAACUUCCUACCUCUCAAGGUUGCCUGUUUUCAUUCUUUCUGCUGGCCCGGAGGGCUUCAGUCCUUUUUACUCCAUCCAAUACCAUAUUCUGUUCCCCUCUCCACCUCUCCACAUCCCCUCUCCCUAUCAGAUCUCUCCCUCCCUCUCCCCUUGUAGAAAAUAUUUACUUGGAGCUAGCUUACAGUUUAGAGUGUUAACCCAUUAUUAUAGCAGCAGGAAAUGUUUUAUGCAGCCAUAUAUGGUGCUGCAGAAGGAGCUGAGAGUACUACCUCUUGAUCUGCAGAAAACAAGGAGGAGACUGUGUCCCACAAUGGCACACUAGUCAUAGGUUGAGCAUAUGACCUCUUACAGUGGCAUACUUUCUCCAAAACAAAC